rnacentral:lncRNA from 12 species
UUUUUUACUAUAUUCAAAAAUAGUAAAGUAAUGGUGAUUUUAUCUUUUUACUUCCAUUACAGGGGACCACAGGUGGCAUCUACUGUGGCCCAGACAUGCAUAUUACUGGAAGAUGUCUGCUAUUUUUAUAACUGUGGCUUAGGGCUUUCACAUACUGCUAAUGAGAUGAAGCACUAUGCUCUUAGUUUCUGUAGUGAUUUUCAAAGCCAGUCGUGCAGGAAGACAUCAGUCAACAGUCAUUGCAGUGAUACAUCUCAUGAAUUUCUUGCUGGUAACCAAUUUGGAGCUCACGACUUCACUGCAACUUACAUGGAUCACAGAAGUGCUAUGAUAAAUUUGGUGAAGCCAGUAACUCACCUGUGUCCCUAUGGAUUGUGGGCCUUUUCUUGCCAGUGGAGAAUGAAAAUCUUCAAGUGUCAUCACUAGCUGUUGUUUUUGCUUUAUGUUUAACUGACAUGGUUAUUGGCACCUCAAAAGAGUAGCACUAUUUUCUCUAUUUUUGUGUGUUCCUCCCUGGCACUAGUGGGGAGGUGUAGUAGCUUUUCUCAUUGCUUGGUGUUGACUGGUGAAGAAUCAUCAUGCCAGAUUUUGAACAUCCAAACUCAGUGAUAACAUUUGAAGACUAAAUACCUUUUUUGAUGCUACUUCUUUUAAGACUAUUUUAUAAAUAGUAAUAUUGCUUAUGUAAUAGCAGUCCCUUUUUAUACUUAUGCAAUGGGCAAUUUUUGGAAUAAACUCUUAUUUUGUUACUUUACCCUGCA